AGAGUUUGAUCAUGGCUCAGGAUGAACGCUGGCGGCGUGCUUAACACAUGCAAGUCGAACGGAACUCUCUGGAUCAAGGCUUCGGCCAAGUGAAUUUGAGUUUAGUGGCGGACGGGUGAGUAACGCGUGAGGAACCUGCCUUUCAGAGGGGAAUAACAGUUGGAAACGACUGCUAAUACCGCAUAACGCAUAGGAACCGCAUGAUUCUUAUGCCAAAGAUUUUAUCGCUGAAAGAUGGCCUCGCGUCUGAUUAGCUAGUUGGCGGGGUAACGGCCCACCAAGGCGACGAUCAGUAGCCGGACUGAGAGGUUGGCCGGCCACAUUGGGACUGAGAUACGGCCCAGACUCCUACGGGAGGCAGCAGUGGGGAAUAUUGGGCAAUGGGCGCAAGCCUGACCCAGCAACGCCGCGUGAAGGAAGAAGGUCUUCGGAUUGUAAACUUCUUUUAACAGGGACGAUAAUGACGGUACCUGUUGAAUAAGCUCCGGCUAACUACGUGCCAGCAGCCGCGGUAAUACGUAGGGAGCGAGCGUUAUCCGGAUUUACUGGGUGUAAAGGGCGUGUAGGCGGGAUUGCAAGUCAGAUGUGAAAACUCCGGGCUCAACUCGGAGCCUGCAUUUGAAACUGUAGUUCUUGAGUGAUGGAGAGGCAAGCGGAAUUCCUAGUGUAGCGGUGAAAUGCGUAGAUAUUAGGAGGAACACCAGUGGCGAAGGCGGCUUGCUGGACAUUAACUGACGCUAAGGCGCGAAAGCGUGGGGAGCAAACAGGAUUAGAUACCCUGGUAGUCCACGCCGUAAACG
rnacentral:rRNA from 1 species